rnacentral:tRNA from 1 species
CGUUAGCUCAGUUGGUAGAGCAGCUGACUCUUAAUCAGCGGGUCGCAGGUUCGAGCCCUGCAC